rnacentral:rRNA from 1 species
AAAGCUUAACAGCAGUCGAGGGGCAGCGGGGAGGUAGCAUACCUCCGCCGGCGACCGGCGCACGGGUGAGUAACCCGUAUGCAACCUGCCCUGUGCAGGGGGAUAAUCCGGAGAAAUCCGGUCUAAUACCGCGUAACACCCCGAGGGGACAUCCUCUUGGGGUUAAAGGAAGCAAUUCCGGCACAGGAUGGGCAUGCGGCGCAUUAGCUGGUUGGCGGGGUAACGGCCCACCAAGGCGACGAUGCGUAGGGGUUCUGAGAGGAAGGUCCCCCACACUGGUACUGAGACACGGACCAGACUCCUACGGGAGGCAGCAGUGAGGAAUAUUGGUCAAUGGGCGAGAGCCUGAACCAGCCAAGUCGCGUGAGGGAAGACGGUCCUAUGGGUUGUAAACCUCUUUUGUCGGGGAGCAAAAAGACUACGUGUAGUCCCAAGCGAGAGUACCCGAAGAAAAAGCAUCGGCUAACUCCGUGCCAGCAGCCGCGGUAAUACGGAGGAUGCGAGCGUUAUCCGGAUUUAUUGGGUUUAAAGGGUGCGUAGGCUGAAUGUCAAGUCAGCGGUAAAAAUUCCGGGCUCAACCCGGUCGUGCCGUUGAAACUGGCGUUCUUGAGUGAGCGAGAAGUACGCGGAAUGCGUGGUGUAGCGGUGAAAUGCAUAUAUAUCACGCAGAACUCCGAUUGCGAAGGCAGCGUACCGGCGCUCAACUGACGCUGAAGCACGAAGGCGUGGGGAUCAAACAGGAUUAGAUGC